rnacentral:lncRNA from 1 species
CACCAAAUACACUUUUAUGCUAGUAAAUCAUGCCAAACUACAAACUUAGCCUUAAGCAGAAUAACACUUUAAAAAAAAAAAAAAAAAAAAACACAACCACAUUUUUAGAACAAAAGGCAGUCUUAAAACAUUUAAAAUUUACUUUAAUUUUCUCCCUUUUUGGAAAUAAGUGCGUAACAAAGUUCUUGUCUAACUUUGCCAAUAGUUUUAAAAAAUGUUUUUUUUUUUUUAAAAAAAAAUCCAUUUGUGCAAAAUGUGGAGCAAGAAAACCUAGUCAGCAAAUAAUUUAAGACCCCAGACAAGUAAAAGAGUUGGGAAAUUAGGAAAGAGGACAUUUUAUAGAAACAAAGAAACAAUAAUGCUUCUUAAGUGCUUUAUAUUAAAACUCCAGAUUUGUAUUUGUGUAGGUUUGAAGUAGUAAGUGUGACCAGAGAUGAAGUUAAGGUCACAUUCUUCCCAGUUUUAUUUUGUUUUUUUAAUUCCUAGCCAUUGCAAACACAAAGAAUGAAAGUCAAUUAAAAUAAAUGGAAAUGCACUGUCAUCCUCCCCUGUUGGAUCCUCAACGGACCUAAACACUGUACUCUCGUGCAUGUGCGAGGAUACAGCAGUUAGGUUAGUACCUGGCGCUGAAUACCAGGAGUCAAUGAGGAUCCCUUCGCAGAAAAUGGAGGCGCCUGCGAAGGACAUUACGGUAAGUAGACUCACCCUUGCCUGCCACCGGCAUUGUCACUGUCGGGGGUCUUUAUUAUGUAAAGUCCCCAAGUGGCGACAGUGCUGCCUAAAUAGAAAGCGCUCUUAUUAGCAAAAAUAAAAGAUUACAAGCAGCCUCAUUAUGUAAUGUCUACAUUUACAACGAGUUUUUAGUGCAUCAUCUGGUUUACCAUUGCUCUUUUGGAGCAGCCAACUUUAGCCCUCUUUUGACAGAAGUAUCAUUUAAAAGGAUCACUAUAGCUUUGGAAAUACAAACCUAUUUAGUACCCCCCCCCCUUCAGCCCUUACUACACUGGUCUCCACAAUCAUGCUCAGCCUCUUUGACUGAUAUCAGUGUAGAUGAGCUUAGCCCACAGGGAAACAUUUGGAAGGCUAGUGUGCAUACACAGCAAAAUGCCACAAAUAAAUGGUCAUUAUGAAACCAACUGAUUGAAUAGCCAAGUUCAACUAUAGCAGGCAGAAUCUAUCAGGAAGACCGCCAUCAGAGGCUGUAGCUGUUCCUACAAAACGAUGUUUACAGUUGCAGGGUUAGACAGGGACAUGGCAUCAUUGAGUGGAAGUGGCCUGGGUACCUAUGCUGUCCCAUUAACACAAACGUAUUUAUCAUACAUACAACGUUUAUUUAUAAAAAUGUAUAAAAACAAAGUAAAAAUUUGUGACUACACACUAGCUCUUUACACCAGUAAAGUUUUUAAUAAGAAAACCUGUGCUUCUAAACAAAUAGGUUUUAAAGAUGGCUGUCCCCAUACAACAAGGCUAAGCCGUAAGAUGCACUGAAAAUAGGUAUUUGCUUACAUAUAUGCAGUAUACAGAGCCUGAAUACAUGUAAAAAAAAAAAAAAAAAUAGACUAGUCCAAGAUUACUCAGAAAAUAAGCACUGGUUUAUACUUAAUUUAAGGUUUACCUGCAAUUUUGCAGGCUAGAAAGAUAAAUAAGGCAGAAUAGGAUGCAUAUCAUUCUUAGCUUCUGUAUUGGACAAAGUGUUUUGUCCAAAGUAUUAAAAACAAAAAUAGACUAUUUUAAAGCUUAGUUAGAGCUACGGACAAGACAUUUUCAUACGUUUAUAAUCAAGACAUUUAGCACAAACUUGGCAUGUUAAAGCUAUAAAGUGGC